UACGUAGGUCUCAAGCGUUGUUCGGAAUCACUGGGCGUAAAGGGUGCGUAGGUGGCGUGGUAAGUCAGAUGUGAAAGCCCGGGGCUCAACCUCGGAAUUGCAUCCGAUACUGCUAUGCUUGAGUACUGGAGAGGUGACUAGAAUUCUAGGUGUAGCAGUGAAAUGCGUAGAUAUCUAGAGGAAUACCAAAGGCGUAGGCAGGUCACUGGACAGUUACUGACACUGAGGCACGAAGGCCAGGGGAGCGAACGGG
rnacentral:rRNA from 1 species